GACGAACCGUGCAAACGUUAUUCGGAAUCACUGGGCUUAAAGGGCGCGUAGGCGGGCCGCCAGGUCCGGGGCGAAAGCCUCCAGCUCAACUGGAGAAGUGCCUUGGAUACCGGCGGCCUCGAGGGAGGUAGGGGCGUGCGGAACUUCGGGUGGAGCGGUGAAAUGCGUAGAUAUUAGGAAGAACACCGGUGGCGAAGGCGGCCCACUGGCUCGAUACUGACGCUGAGGUGCGAAAGCGUGGGGAGCAAACAGG
rnacentral:rRNA from 1 species